UGGCCCUUGGGGGAUCGAAUACGACCUUCGUGUUAUUAGCACGACAGCUCUAACCAACUGUGACUAAUGGGCC